AGUGUAUUCAACUCUGUCUCCAAGAUCUGCUCAGUAUAACAGUAUAAUGUAUCUAGGUAACCAAGUACACAGCCUCUACGCUAUUCAAGUAAAAGGAUGUCACGCUGUUACUGUUUUAUUUUGCAAUAUUUCAAGUUUGUAACAUCUUUAGAGUUACUGACAUAUCAGUUCACAAGCAUUUUAUGAAUUUCAAGUUCUUUUUUGUGAAAUUGAAAUGUCACAAAGCUUGAAAUUAUAUGUACCGGUAUUCAUUUUUCAUUCUUGUAAUUUUUUUUUGUUUUUCAUGCCUCUAUGAUAGGUAUUAAAUCAAUGAUGACUCAAAUAAAUCAGAUAAUCCUAAGUUACAGCAAAUAUAUGUAUGUUGUAAUUCAAAUUGUUAACAUAUAAGUAAACAAAUAUGUUAAUGCCUAUAAUGUUAAUAUGGAUUGAUUUCAGUUUUAUAUGAUACUUUUAAUACCUGUGGUAUGUGUAUUUUAACUCUAACUAAAUAUAUUUUUAUUAAGUAAGUCAUUUGUUAAGUUCUCCUUCUCUAAAUCCCAAACAUUUUAUGUUAUGAUUUAAUUUCUUGUUUUUAUCUAGUUGUUAUACCAAAUGUUGUUGUACCAUUUUCAUGUUUGGUAAGUAAACAAAUCUAUUUAG
rnacentral:sRNA from 1 species